UACGAAGGGGGCGAGCGUUGUUCGGAAUUACUGGGCGUAAAGGGCGCGCAGGCGGCCUAUCAAGUCAGGCGUGAAAGCCCCGGGCUUAACCUGGGAAUUGCGCUUGGGACUGAGAGGCUUGAGUACGGGAGAGGAGAGUGGAAUUCCCAGUGUAGAGGUGAAAUUCGUAGAUAUUGGGAAGAACACCGGUGGCGAAGGCGGCUACUCGUGGACCGUAACUGACGCUGAGGCGCGAAAGCGUGGGGAGCAAACA
rnacentral:rRNA from 1 species